rnacentral:tRNA from 1 species
AACCUAGGCUCAAACAAGUUUUUGUCGCCCCCCCCGCUCA